rnacentral:rRNA from 1 species
UACGUAGGGGGCAAGCGUUGUCCGGAAUCAUUGGGCGUAAAGCGCGUGUAGGCGGCCCGAUAAGUCCGCUGUGAAAGUCCAGGGCUCAACCCUGGAAUGCCGGUGGAAACUGCCGGGCUGGAGUCCGGAAGAGGCGAGUGGAAUUCCUGGUGUAGCGGUGAAAUGACGCAGAUAUCAGGAGGAACACCAAUGGCGAAGGCAGCUCGCUGGGACGGUACUGACGCUGAGACGCGAAAGCGUGGGGAGCAAACAGG